rnacentral:rRNA from 1 species
AUGGACAAGUUUCUUCUCAAAAGAAAGGCACCAUCAUAAGAUGCUCCAGAAGACAUGAAUUGGGAGGAGGAGAUUCAAUAUGAUCCAGGCAAGAGGAAAUUGAUAGAACAUUAUCAUCCAAAUUUGAAAGACUUGGUAAGAAGAAAGUAUUUGCUUAAUGGACCUUGUGAGCCAAAAGAUAUCGAUUUUCCAUAUUCAAACUUUGGGACUAAGAGGAGAAGGUUCAAUCCUGAAUGGUUUGAUGAUCAUGAGAGUUGGGAUUGUGGCCACAAGAAAGAAGCUGGGUAUGAGGCAAUUGUUCUGAAUGGUUGGGAUACCUGGAGCAUUCCAUCAAGGCUAAAAGAUCAUGUUGGCGAGCCAGGUAGUGUCCAUGAUCAAGCAAUGAAAAAAUGUACCGCUCUGCUAAAAAGAGAUGAACACAUUGAUGUUGCUAUGCAAUUUCGAGGUGAAGCUUCGAAGGUUGCAUAUUUUACUCGAAUGAAUGCCGCAAUUGACACGGCUAGACUAUUGUUGAAGCAAGGGUUGCCUUUCCGGGGCCAUGAUGAGUCAAAGAACUCGCACAAUAAAGGUAAUUUCUUGGAAGUUCAUGAUUUCUUAGCUGAGCAUGAUCCAGUUGUUGGCAAGGCUAUGUGA